UACUCGCAGCUGCUUUUGUACACCAGAGAUGCCGGCAGCUUGGCUUUCCUGCUGAGCCCCCCGCCGUUCAACUGCACAUUUAGCACCCGCGUCCUCAGGUACACAUGAAUUACUGCUUACUGGUCACAGGUAUGAGCAUGCUGGGCAUGGAUGCGAAGUGAGGGUGGGUGACAAGGGGUUGUACCAUUGCAGGCGGGCGCGGAGGGAGGUGGUUGUUCUGCGUGGAGCUAGGGCUCGCACUGCCAGGGCUGUAGCUGGGGGAUGUUGCAGUGCGCGCUGAGGUCAGAUGCCCAUUGGCCGCCAACUGCACGUGCACCGAAAAACACCUUCAGCUUGCACGGCAGCUCAACAUCUUAGGCAUGAGGGCAUCUCCAUGCUCAGAAGACAACCGGCAAGAAAAGACAGCUGGAAAUGUAAUGAACAAUGUGCGGCAUGCUUUCCGAAACGACUUAUCCCUGGACUGACCUGGCAGAAUAGUAAUGCAGUCUACUUGUUACACCCAAACGCAUGCAGACAUACCGGUUUGAGCACGUAGGGUCGUCGCGCCGCGGGGUUGGGGA
rnacentral:lncRNA from 1 species